UGACUGUUUUUGUCCUCGAUCAAUUGAAUAAGUUUUCAAUAUAGGUGGGUAAACAAAAUAACAAUAAAUCACAUUUUGUUUUUGGAUUUGUAUUUUGGUAGUACUGCAUGGAUACGCGCUUAUCUCCAAUUUUUGAAAAAUUACCAGACGGAACGGAUUUGACUUACAAAUUCCAAAAAUCAACUUAUAAACAUUUACAAAUGAAGAUUUUAAACUUACAAUCAGUCCGAUUCGAUUUGAUUGAUAUGGGGAAGGGGGCAACUACACACACGUAAUAUAAUAAAAAUUUGUGAGAACAGAUAAGUAGUAGGAUAUUAUUGUCAAUAUAAUAUUAUAAUCACCGAGAAAUUCGAUCUAAAAAUAGAAAUUAAUAAUUAUUAUUAUUAAACUCGAAAUAAAAACCAUAAAAAAUAUUUAUGGAUAUUUAUUUACAUUAUUAUUGACAGGGCGACAAAGUAGAUGUAAUGGUUUUAUACGCCAUUUUACGAGAGAACGGUAACUGACGAAAACUCUUUCAUGUUUACGCAUCCACACGCCUUAUACUAUCCCCACAACAUUUUUAUCUAGAAGACAGCAACAGCGAGUGAACACGUUUUAGUUUGUAGGUACGUAGCGCUCGUCCAUGGCCCGCAGUGGAAAACUGAUCCAUCCAUUUCUCUCCGGGUAACAGGAGAACGACCGAAAAUCUAGAACGAAACAUACAAAUCUCGUCCACACUGCAAACCUGAUAAAUAUUGUUUCUAGAAAGUUAAUGUCCUCAGUAUAAACCUAAAACGUAAAACUUUUCUAAUUGAAAAACCACGUAGGUUAAAGUAUAUGGGUAAAAGCCAAAAGUCACGUCGAGUAUUAGGUCACAUUUUGAUGUAUAUUCUGUCCAUCAUGGUUCAGGGUUAUCAAUUCAUUGAUAUUAAAUUCGUACCGAUACUAAAUUAAAA